GACUCUCAGCAACGGAUAUCUUGGCUCUCACAUCGAUGAAGAACGUAACAAAAUGCGAUACUUGGUGUGAAUUACUGAGUCCCGUGAACGAUCGAGUCUUUGAACGCAAGUUACGCCCCAAGCCAUUAGGUCGAUGGCAUGUUUUUCUGGGCAUCA